GGUCCCAUGAGUCUCGGAUAAGUUUUGGAAGAGUUUUUGGAAGAUUUUGCCGUUUUGAGCAUAAGCAUGUAAUGAUCCAAAGAUCCAUUUUUAGUUCUAGAGAUCGAAAUUUAAUUUCGAGGCUUCUGGAAUUUUGAUAAUGAAUUAUAGGACUGAUCUGGAAAGUUGGUCUAAUUUAAUCAAGUUGCGAUUGGGUUUUUGACAUGAAACAUGAGUUAAUUGUUUAACGAGCGAAAUGGGUAUUAAACUGAGCAAAUGAGCUCUGAAUUGAGUUUCGACUGAAAGACUAUGUUCGUAUUAUUAUUUGUGACUCAUAGGAACAAGAAUCAUCGAAUUCCGAGUUUGUAUAAUGGAGUUAGAGCCUUUUUUGUGAAAAGAAAAGCUGCUGCAAUUUUCUGGGCAGUUUCUGCAUUUUUCGCACGUGUGAACAGUGACCGCACCUGCGUGAACAGUACCAUGUAUAGUACCCCUUAAACAGUACCGUGUAUAGUACCCUCGUGUACAAUACCCCGUGAACAGUACCCCGUGAACAGUACCCUCAUGAACAGUCGUGAACAGUACCGGACAGAAUGUUAAGUUCUGGAAAAUGGGACGAAUCCCAUUUUCCAUUUUUACCAAAUUGGAGCUAGGGGAGAGGCGAUUUUCGGGAGAUUUUUAGAGAAAACAACGGGGUAAGUAUUCUUAACUUAAUUUUGGUUAGAUUACCCGAAUCUAUUACUAGUUUUGGCAUAUAAUUAGUGAUUUUAGUUGGGAAAAUCUUGAAAACCCUCUUGGUUUAAUUUGAAGAUUUGAGGGUCGAGUUGAUGUCGGAUUUUAGUAAAAUUGGUAUAAUUUUUAUUGACGGAAUCUCAUAUGUAAUUAAUUCCUAUAAUUUUUAUUAACAGAAUCGAAUUAUUGUGGCUAGAUUUGAGGUAUUCGGAGGUCGAUUUGAGAGACAAAGGCAUCACGAGCUAGAGGCUUAGCCGGUACGAGGUAAGUAAUGAUUGUAAAUACUGUCCUGAGGGUUUGAAACCCAGAUUAUACGUCGUUGUGUUACUUUGAGGUGACUUGCACGCUGGAUGACGAGCGUGGGGUAGAGCACCGCUGGGGAUUGUGACCUAGUCCAUCCCGAACGAAUAUUUUAAUGCGUAUUUGAUAGUUAAUUGUUUGACAUUAUUAUAUUUUUGGGUUGUAUGCCAUGUUUGGGGCCUUGUGCCGAUUUGUUGAGACACUUAAGGGCAUUUUUACUAUUUUUCCUCACUCUAUUUGUUUGAAAGCAUAUUUUCAGUCAUAUUUUACCUGUUUAUUGCUCAAAUCUGGCUUUAUCACUAUAUUCUUAACAUGUGAAAAUUGUUUUGGGCUGAGUUCCCUGUUUUACUGAGAUAGACCGAGGGUCUAAUUAUGAGAUUGAUGACUGAGUUAGACUGAGAGUCUGAUGGUGAGGUUAAUCACUGAGAGAGGCCGAGGGCCUAGUUAUGAGGAUUAUAUAUCUAUGGAUCGGGCUGCACGCCGCAACAAUACUUAUAUGGAUCGGGCUGCGCGCCGCAGCAAUAUAGCGCUUGGGCUGUAGGAGCCCCUUCGGAGUCUGCACACCCCCAAUGAGCGCAGUCGACUAUUUAUAUGGAUCGGGUUGUGCGCUACAUCGAUGAAUGGAUCGGGCUGCACGCCGUAGCAGUUACUUUGAUUUCAGUUAUUGUGAGAGAUAUAUGAAUCGGGCUGCACGCUGCAGCGGUUACUAUAUGAUACCAAUUGAGCGUGAAUGCUGAGUGCGAGUACUGAUUGGUAAGAGUUGAGUCACGAGUGACAGAGAGGCUAUCCCGAGGGGCGAUAGAUAUAUGCAUGCAUAUGAGUGGUGUUUUGCCUGAGAGGCCUGUUUAUGGACUUAUUAAUUUCACUCCUCUUAAAAUGAGUUUCUAUCGAAUAUGUUGAUUUAUUGACUGUUUUCACCCAUCUUUAUAUUGAGCCUCUGUCAGAAAGUUGCACAAAUGUUUUAAAACAAUUUUUAUUUAAACUGGGGUUUAUGAGAUGUUCAGAAAUUAAUCACUGAUUUGACAUUGGUUAUUUCCACUAAGAUUUUCAAGUUAUGAAGUGUUUGUGAUUACUGUUUUGCCCGAGGGGCUAUUUUUCGAAC
rnacentral:lncRNA from 1 species